rnacentral:rRNA from 1 species
GAGGAUGCGAGCGUUAUCCGGAUUUAUUGGGUUUAAAGGGUGCGUAGGCGGCCUGUUAAGUUAGUGGUAAAAUGUCGGGGCUAAACUCCGGAUAGCCAUUAAAACUGGCGGGCUCGAGUACAGACGAGGUAGGCGGAAUAAGUCAAGUAGCGGUGAAAUGCAUAGAUAUGACUUAGAACUCCGAUAGCGAAGGCAGCUUACCAGGCUGAGACUGACGCUGAAGCACGAGAGCGUGGGUAGCGAA